UGUUAAAAGUUUCACCCAUUUCUGUUGUUAAAACUGGCGUGACUAAUGAAAUAAUCAAACAAUUACAUAUGAUGUGUCACGUGUACCUUAUGCUGAUAUACAAUGAUCAGUUUUUAAUAGUAUAAAAUUUGAGGAAAUUUUUAACA
rnacentral:pre_miRNA from 1 species